rnacentral:rRNA from 1 species
GUAAGGAAUAUUGGACAAUGGACGCAAGUCUGAUCCAGCCAUGCCGCGUGAAGGAUUAAGGUCCUCUGGAUUAUAAACUUCUUUUAUAAGGGACGAAAAAAGGAUUUUCUAAGUCGUCUGACGGUACCUUAUGAAUAAGCACCGGCUAACUCCGUGCCAGCAGCCGCGGUAAUACGGAGGGUGCAAGCGUUAUCCGGAUUCACUGGGUUUAAAGGGUGCGUAGGCGGGCAGGUAAGUCAGUGGUGAAAUCCUAGAGCUUAACUCUAGAACUGCCAUUGAUACUAUCUGUCUUGAAUAUUGUGGAGGUAAGCGGAAUAUGUCAUGUAGCGGUGAAAUGCUUAGAUAUGACAUAGAACACCUAUUGCGAAGGCAGCUUACUACGCAUAUAUUGACGCUGAGGCACGAAAGCGUGGGGAUCAAACAGGAUUAGAAACCCUGGUAGUCC